rnacentral:sRNA from 1 species
CCUUGUUGGAAGCCAAAACACUAUCUGGUCAUUACAAUGUUGUCGGCGAACUAUCAGCGUCCAGGAUGGACUGCCCCAACUUUCAGGAGUGGCAGCCUUUCAAUAUACGUCUUAUUUGGCAGAUUAUUUAGCCAUCAGAAGACAAAAUGCGUACCAAUUGCCAUGAUUUGACCUAAUCCAACGAAAAGGACGUAUCAUUUCACUGUCUGAUUCUUCUCACCCUUCAAUCUAUUAAGAAUCGUGCAAUCACAUUACGCUCCAACGCCAAUAUCGCUAGUCUCUUCCCUGGUAGAGUGGAUAUGUAGAUGGUGCUGUACGUUGAGCACCGACGACCUUGAUGUCAACGACCGGUUCCAUACUCUAUCAAAGUUCCUCUCGUCAUAUACCAGGCUGUCAGGCCCUUUCUAAAUCUGAGUUGUUUCUGUUCUCAGCACAUUGAAACCCC